GAUUUUUGCAUUUUUCUUCCAUUUUCUUCGUUUAUUUCUCUAUGAAUACAGUGUGUUAACCAUUCGCUCGAUCAUCCUCUGCGGGAUAGUAACGAAAAUGGAAGGAUAUUUAUUAGCAUUAAGAUUGCAAUAAUUCUUCAAGCUUUAAAAACACUGGAAGUUUAUUCCUCCAACGAAACAAUAUUUCCACAAAUGAGGCAAGAGUGGCAUUAUCAGACAUCGCGUGCAAUCUUUCAUUCGUUUCCUCGAACAACGUUGGAACGAGGAAAACACAUUUAGAAUCCCGAAGUAAACUCGAUAAAUACGUGAAAUCGACGUGAGACGUCCGUGAGCGAUUUUCUUCGCGAGAGUAAACUCAAGAUCGAGAGAGAGAGAGCUGGCUAGGGAGUUAGAAGGGGCGGGAGGAGACAGCGAUGCGACGAAGAUCGAAGAAUUGAAAACUUGCUCAUCACCGGUCGCGCUCCGCUUUGUUUCCGCUCGGGGUCGAAACUUACGGCAUCUAAGUCGAAAGAGUACUGUUUUCACCUGGAGGCUCUGGGAGUUCCGCAUUUGACGCGAUCAGAUCUGUUUGCACCUGGCUGCCUCACGGAAACUCCUUCACGGAAACUCGGUGUGCUCGGGACGCUCGGUAAUCUCAAACUUUUAACCCUUUGAGAUGCCCGGUGCCGCGCGCGCGUGUACUGCUACCCGCUGCAAAUAACGUUAAACGUUCUCCAGGAGAAUCUUUGAACGACGACUCGUCAUUGCAGUCGAAGAAGUGCACCACCGAUGUUGAGCACGUAAUUGAAAAUACCGGAAUCUUGAAUCUUCAGUGUGCGAUAAAUAAUUGUUUCUGUAAUCGAUUAACGAAUUAACGAUGAACAAAUUACGAUCUAACUUCUUUAUAUUGAUCGUGCAUUGAUUGUUGUUCCCACUGAUUGUGAGCGGUUCGCGAUGUAUGGAUUAAACUGCUCGAUAUUCGUUUAAUCUUGCAGAGUGGUUUAUAUUGCGUCAUGGGAUUGUGUAGGAUUAAACGGCCCAAAAAUUGCAAAGGGAGAUUGAUGGUUUAUAGUUCGAAGUAUGUUUUGCGCUUCGGAUUGAGUGUUUUAUUGUGCAGUUCCCAUAUGUGACGCGAAUCGAUGCAAGAAUUAUGAUACGACGAACGCAUGCCUGGACAUGAUAAGUUGUUAUGCAAUCGUUUGUCUGAACCGAUUGAACCGGAAUAUAUAGCUUACAGCAAUUUGAUUUUCUAAAUGCAAUUGGCAUGCAUUAAGCGCAGUAAAUCGCAUAUUUUAGCAAAAAAAAUGAUAAUAAAAGAGGUAGAUGUGAUAUAAAAUAAUUUACAUUACUCAGAAAUUAUCGUAAAAACUCUGAAAUUAAUAUUUAAUUUAUAUAUUAAUUUAUAUAUUAAUUUACUCUUUCGCUAUUAACUCUGUCAAUUACUUAAUAUUUUAUCAAUUACUAAAUUACUAUCAAUUAUUAAAUAUUCAGUAUUCAUUGUAGACUAUAAAUAAAAUAUUAUUUUAGUAAGAGCAAACAGUUUAAGAAAACUUAUAAAAUUCAAUAUUGCAAAAUUGCAUUGUAAAUUUAUUGUACAAAAUGCCACGACACGUGGUGCAAAUUUGAAGAGUACGAACUAUUUGAACAAUAAUCUUUUUUCACGAUCAUACGCGCACGAACCAAAGCACGGUCAGCGGUUUACGCAGUUGACACAGUGUGUACGUGUAUGUGCGUGUGAGUGCAGGCUUUGCAUGUUUUGAACGUGUCAUGUUACGAGAUAGGGUACGUUUUAUAUUGACCCAGCACAGGAUUAUUCGCCACCUUGUUAUUCGGCAUGGCCAAAUUAAGCCUCGCUGAGCGGCUUGCGGGUAAAACCACGAGGUGGGCGUUGCCUACCAGUUAAUUCCGCUUGCGAAGGUUUAAAGCAAACGCGACCUGCAAACCGAGUCGUAGUCGUUGAUUCCUUGAGCAAGAUCUAACAAGCUUAAUUUAUUUUACCAACGGCGCACACCGAUGCUCCAUUCCUGUUUAUACGUAUAAAUAUUGGUUCCUUUAAUUGUAGGUACUUUCCUUUUCGGCAAUCUUUACCACGAAUAUUUGUGCAUUUAACAAAAGAUAGUUAUUUUCUUGCAGUUUGUCUCUCUUCCUAUAUUUAUGACAAAUUUGUACAAUAUUAAUUUUCUUUCCCUUUUUCAGUUCUUGCAGAUUUAUAUUAGGCACAAAGCUUGUGCUGAUUAUGAUGCACCUAAUUGAAUUUGAUCAUUAAUUAAAAAAAAUAAAAUUGUCUUUAAGAUUACACAGGGAACAUUAUAGUAGGAUCAGAUUACGUAUUCUCAUUUCUGUCAUGAUUAUUAAUGCCGAAAGAAACUUAGAAAUGAAAAGGCUGUCAGAAAGUUAAGCAAAAAUGAUCACGUUUCUAGAUAUACCUAACAAUAGGAACUCACGUCAAGCAAUCGCAUGUAGAAUAAAUCAUGCAUUGCAGGAUUAAGAUUAGGCAAACAAUGGUCCGGCAAGAUAAACGCUUAAUAGUGAUGAAUUUCGUGCGCAAUUCGAAAAUUAAUGCGAAAGCGAGAUAUAAAACGCAAAGGGGUAAGCUGCAAUUCCUGCCACUAUUUAAACGCGAAAAUAGCAUCUCUGGCGGCUUAGCUCGGGAACAAAAAUUUACUAGCAGCUGCUGUCCAGGCAUAACUUCAGGGGUUGCUACAUUUUAAUAGUGAUACAUUAUCCCAGACUUUUAAUAUUACAAAGUGCAGCCCGGUAAUUCUGCAUCAUCCGUCCGCCAUCGUGAGGUGAGAGACGACGGCUUUGUCGUGAUUUAUGUCACGGUUGAAGCUGGAUGCGCGGCGCGAUGAGCGAAAGAAUUAUUUUUUCGCAGUUGUCGGCUGCCUCCUCCCUUUCUCCCGUUGUAGCCGGACGUAAAUCGCGAGAACUUCCGCUUCAGACCAAAACUCUCUCGCAAUCCAAGCAAUAGCCCGUUGCUAUCUGUACCUGUAAGAGCUCGGAUCAAGUGGAUCAAGUAAAGGCGAUCCUCUUAUUUUAUUCUCACGCCGAACAACGCACGAGAAGAACGAGGAGCAUUUUAUCGUGACGGAGCGAGACAGACCGUCCAACUGCUAGUUCUAACUCGCGAAAAAGUUGCCGGACCGUCCAGGAGAGUACCGGAAACCGAAAGAACCGGCGAUCAUCGUGUCCUUUAGUUCGCGUUGGAGCAAUUGCCGGACAAUCGCCGGACAAUCGCCGUGCAUUUCGCACAAUGUGGUUUCAUUAUGGUACGGUUACGAUGAUCUUCGGCCACCGGAGAGCUCGCCCGAGCCGCUCGAAGUCCGGUGGAGAUUGGCGCGCCGCCAAAAUGGCGCUCAGCACGCUAGAUUAAGCAGAUUAACCGUGCGCGUCUCCAGUGGGCAUUGUAACAUCGGACCGGGCGUCCGGAACGUCGUUAAAUUCUUGCUGUUUGCGAAUAAAUUGCGCCUUCCUAAUUGGCUGAUCCCUAUUCCAUUAAGCCGGAGGGAAAACACGGCCGAACAUCCGAUAGCAUAGUCGUAAUGUUAGUCUGUAGAGAUAGGACGAUUGCAUCAGCCUGCCCAUUGAUCUUUCAUCUUCCGAAGCUUAAUCUUCAAAUAAUAAUCGAAGAUUAUCGUGUUAGUCUUCAUCGACAGGAAUUGUUCAUCCCUUUCUUUAUUAAUUCUUGAGAGAAUAAUUCUUUCCGGCUGUAGGUGUGGUACUUAACUGGCAAGAGCGAUUUAUCACACAAUCGUGCGCGCGUGAUGCUGAAAAUGCGUAGCGUUAACAUGUUGCGACAUCAAUUGGUACAAUUUCCCGAUGAACACACGAAACAUAGCAGCUGGCACUAUCGUUUACAAGAUAAAAACGAUUUGCGGAUUCGCUAUAUAUGUAUAUAUAACACAUAACUUUUUCCUCUCUUUCAACAUGACACAGAUGCGCCGAACAGUUGGAAACUUCACAGUUUAGCCGGUGAGUAAGCUAAAAAAAUUUCCAGUACUUUCCGGUAAAAAAGAUUCGUAAAAAGUUGCGCGUGACGCUGUCUCGUCGAAAACAGAUAUUAGACGAGCAGCCUGUUGCUUUUUUAAUGUAAUGCAAUGCAAUGGUCGAGGUGUUAAAUUCUCGUCUACUCUACUGUUAUAUGAAAAGAACGAUCUCCGUGUUUGACUGACUACUCCACUGCAAUUUGGCCGAGAACUGUUAAAUUAUGCAAGGUAGUUAAGUGAAAAUCUGCAAAUUUAAAAUAUUAAAGAGCGAAUCUAAUUGCGUACAUUUAUACGUUGUUACCAAUAUCGAACGAACAGAAUUCAGAUAUCAUUCUGUAUACCUGAACAUUCGGCUACAUGUUAAUUGAUUUUGAAUAAUUUCCAGCCCAAAGUCACAAAUACGAUGCAACAAAUUUCGAGAAAAUGAGAUAUAAUUUAUUUAAAAUAACAAAUAACAGAAAAUGAAGUAAUAAACAAUAAAAACGAAAUAUCAGUGAAUAAAUUGAUAAAGUAGAUUAAGUAAAAUCAAUUUAAUUGAUUGACAUUUUUGAUUUAGAAAGAUUUUUAUGUACUCAUCUGCAGACGCUUCAUUAUUUCACGUUGAUGUCACCGUCGCGACAAUUUUAUGCAAAUAAUUAAAGCACGGUGAAAUAAAUUUAAACUAAAUAUUCAAUAUGAUUAUCGAGUGUUCUUCAAAUAUGGGAAUAACCAAUCGAGUUCUCUUUUAAAUUUUUAACUGUCAUAAAAUAUGAAGAAUUGUUAAUAUUUUCAGCGCAUCUAGUUCCUAACGUCAGUCUUAUAACGACGGUUUUAUUAAGCGAGGCGCGUUAGAUGGCAAUCGCCAUCGCGAAAGAUGUCACAUUUCAACGCAGAAGGCAAGAGUGCGAUAUCUACGAGUUCACUAUAUUCGAGAAUACAUAUUUAUGCAUAUAUGUACGUAGGUAAUGUCCGUGUGAAAAUGCAGCGCCAGGACACAUUGCUAUUGCGCGCACCACCACCAAAGUGUACCUCCAAGAUAUGCAGAAGCGAGCGUCACGGUUGCAAGAAGAAGUAAAUGGAUGGCAGUAUCUUUUCUUACAUGAACUAGAAGCUCAUGAAUUAUCGUAACAUUCUAACGCUUUCCGUCAAGUUCUACGAUUUUUAUUCUAUUUUCUUUCUCUCACACAUCUUCCAAGGGUUAAGAUACUUCGUACGGUACCCAUGAGAUCGUGAGAUGCGAAUACUUUAAGUUGAAAGUUGAAACUAGAACAUGUUAAGAGAUAAAUAACACAUGCAGUGCACGAUGUGAACAGAAAUUGUGUACUUUAAAUAGUAUACUAUUUCAGAUAAUAAAUUUGUGUUUCAGAUUAAUCAU